AGUGAACGCUGGCGGUAGGCCUAACACAUGCAAGUCGAACGGCAGCACAGUAAGAGCUUGCUCUUACGGGUGGCGAGUGGCGGACGGGUGAGGAAUACAUCGGAAUCUACUUUUUCGUGGGGGAUAACGUAGGGACACUUACGCUAAUACCGCAUACGACCUACGGGUGAAAGCAUGGGAUCUUCGGACCUUGCGCGAUUGAAUGAGCCGAUGUCGGAUUAGCUAGUUGGCGGGGUAAAGGCCCACCAAGGCGACGAUCCGUAGCUGGUCUGAGAGGAUGAUCAGUCACACUGGAACUGAGACACGGUCCAGACUCCUACGGGAGGCAGCAGUGGGGAAUAUUGGACAAUGGGCGCAAGCCUGAUCCAGCCAUACCGCGUGGGUGAAGAAGGCCUUCGGGUUGUAAAGCCCUUUUGUUGGGAAAGAAAAGCAGCAGGUUAAUACCCCGCUGUUCUGACGGUACCCAAAGAAUAAGCACCGGCUAACUUCGUG
rnacentral:rRNA from 1 species